CACCCCGCAUUUUUUACCUACUUUGGUGCGAUUCCCGCAGCCCUCCGAUGAUUGGCCAGCUAGACACGGCGGACCCUCGCGUGAGAGGAAAAAUCUGCACAUUUUUCCUUCUUCGCGAGGCGACUGAGGCCCGCUCUGGGCACCCUGUGAGUCAGCGCUAAUGUGAGGUCUGGAGAACAGGCGCGAUUUGUUUAUCUUCGGUCCAGGCCGGGAAGGAGCCGUGGCCCAGGGUGUGGCCAGGGCGGCAGUUGAACUGCUCCGGGCCCGGGGUUUUCUACUCGCGAACUGUGGUUGCACCAGAAACAGCUUGCAGGGGACCAGAAGGAAUCCCAGCGCUUUUCUAACGCAUGUUUUUGUGGGGAAUACAGGGGACAGGAAGAAUUUACAACUGGGAAGAUUACUGAACUUUAUAUUAAGUUGUACCUAAUUUAGGCAGCCAAGAGCAUAAUGAUUUAUACCGAAACUGUUUUGAUUCUCCAGAUAUGACGAUUUGGACAAGAUGGCAAUAAGGAAGUUGGGGCGGUUUUAAGCCUUUACCACUGGCUGCAGGUGUUUGGCAAGGACGUGGGAAUUACCUGAAGAACUUGUUCCAAAUUAGGCUUACACUUAAUCUUUGGGGGAAAAUAACUCUCAACCUGCUGGAGGCCAGAUGUGCUGAGUUUUUGUCUCCUGAGAAAGGAAGGAGGUGAAGAGUAAGGAAAGGUUUACCGACAGCUCCUGAGAGACAGGAGGGGUCCCAGAAGUGCGUGGCCCCACAGGCGCUUUCUCCAAGAAUGUUCUAUGGAGCAAAAUCACAAGGGAGAUUCUCAGGCCUGGCCAUAUUGUCUCCAUCUUGAGUCCUGGCCCCCUUCAGAUGUGCCUUCAGCAGCAGUUUUGAUGUGUUUUCAUCUUCCACACUGACUCCCUUGAGGGCUUAUCCCUGUCUGACUACCUAUUAAUUUCUACCUAACUUAGCUGUCUAGUAUCUUGAUCUUGUACCUUCCAGCCUCCAAAGCAAUAGGAAUAUAUCUCUGUUUUCUCUGCUGACCCCCAGUCUGUGUGUGGCUUUGUGCUGUACAGCCUGAACAGACUAUAACACAUAAAGUCUCUCCUUGAAUACAGCAUGGGUAUGUUCCAUUUCUGAUUUAGAAGACGUUUUGCAAAUGCAGUACUUGAUCUAUGAACAUGCAAGCACUUUCAUUUGAAGCCAUUAAUAUGACUGGCAGAGAAUAAAUUCACUUUGAAGAGAUUGCAGAGA